rnacentral:rRNA from 1 species
GGUGAACGCUGGCGGCGUGCCUAAUACAUGCAAGUCGAGCGAACGGACGAGAAGCUUGCUUCUCUGAUGUUAGCGGCGGACGGGUGAGUAACACGUGGAUAACCUACCUAUAAGACUGGGAUAACUUCGGGAAACCGGAGCUAAUACCGGAUGAUAUUUUGAACCGCAUGGUUCAAAAGUGAAGGACGGUCUUGCUGUCACUUAUAGAUGGAUCCGCGCUGCAUUAGCUAGUUGGUAAGGUAACGGCUUACCAAGGCAACGAUGCAUAGCCGACCUGAGAGGGUGAUCGGCCACACUGGAACUGAGACACGGUCCAGACUCCUACGGGAGGCAGCAGUAGGGAAUCUUCCGCAAUGGGCGAAAGCCUGACGGAGCAACGCCGCGUGAGUGAUGAAGGUCUUCGGAUCGUAAAACUCUGUUAUUAGGGAAGAACAUAUGUGUAAGUAACUGUGCACAUCUUGACGGUACCUAAUCAGAAAGCCACGGCUAACUACGUG